AGGAUUGACAGAUUGAGAGCUCUUUCUUGAUUUUGUGGGUGGUGGUGCAUGGCCGUUCUUAGUUGGUGGAGUGAUUUGUCUGCUUAAUUGCGAUAACGAACGAGACCUUAACCUGCUAAAUAGCCCGACCCGCUUUGGCGGGCCGCCGGCUUCUUAGAGGGACUAUCGGCUCAAGCCGAUGGAAGUUUGAGGCAAUAACAGGUCUGUUAUGCCCUUAGAUGUUCUGGGCCGCACGCGCGCUACACUGACAGAGCCAACGAGUUUACUACCUUGGCCGGAAGGUCUGGGUAAUCUUGUUAAACUCUGUCGUGCUGGGGAUAGAGCAUUGCAAUUAUUGCUCUUCAACGAGGAAUGCCUAGUAAGCGCAUGUCAUCAGCAUGCGUUGAAUACGUCCCUG
rnacentral:rRNA from 1 species